CCCCGAUCUCUGGUUUGGGGGCGUUGAUGGGGUACGGGGGCUCGGGUGGAGCCCGUGGAGCGUGAGAAAUCUUGGUGGGCUGCGGGAACGCGCCGGGCUGUGGCUCAUCAAGGAUCUCCUGCCGCAUCCCUGCGCACCCGCGGACGCUGGGAUUCCUCCCGGAGGGUUUCGCUGCCGGUUCCGUGGGUACCCGAGGGAAGGGGCAGCGCAGGACUCGCGUGUUCGUGUGAGCAGAGCUACCUCUAGCGGCCGCCGCUGCGCCCCGGCAUCAGGCCCGAUGUUCGCUCUGGUACCGGGCGCUGCCGGUGGAAUGGAGAGCAAGGGGGUGCGGGGGACGUCCUUGGGAAUUGCUUUCAUAAGCUAGAUGUGAUGUAUCAGUGCCUCUGUUGGCACCUUCUGCUUGAAUGACCAGCUAGGGAAAAGCACAUAAGUAACUCAAUUGCUUCAGUAAUAAAGUGUUUUCCUUCUUCUCCAGCUCUCAGAGGCCCUAGAUGGACCUUCCAUCUUCCUUUGCCCAGACAAGGGUGUGGUGAAGGGCUGAAAGUUUGUUAUGGGCUCCAGGGAAGACAGGAAGGCAGAGAGGAAGAAGGGAUUUUCCAUGUGCCACCUCCAUCAAAACAGGCGGACGCGCUUGGUUCUCCUGCGUGUUGAUUGGUCGGCGGCUCGGAGGAGACGGCUGCUAUUGGCUGAGCGGGCUGCUGUCCUUUGACUUCCGGUGUCCCCCAGUGAGGCGCUUCCGGUCUGUCCCGGCUGUGCCCGCGGCCUUGCUGCGGUGUUCGGGCACCGGCAGCCUCUGUGCGAACGCGAGCGGAAAGGCGAAGAGAGGCCUCGGCGGCUCCGGCCAUGCCGCCCGUGAAGGCCGGCGGUAAGGAAGCCCUGGUGCUGCAGUGCGAGUGGGAGGCGUGCAGCUACGUGGCCUCCGCCAUGGAGGAGUUCUGCGGGCAUGUGGCCCAGCACCUGCGGCUGCACCUGCCCGGCGAGCAGCGGGACGAACUGGAUCCGCUCGAGGAAUACACGUGUCUGUGGCAGGAGUGUGGUUUCUGUUCCCCGGAGAGCCCCGCCGACCUCAUCCGCCACGUCUACUUCCACUGCUACCACACCAAGCUAAAGCAGUGGGGACUGCAGGCCCUGCAGGGCCAGUCGGAGGUGAGCCACUGCCAGCUGGACUUCCAGAGCCGCAACAUCGUCCCUGAAAUCCAGGAGAACUUUCAGUGCCUAUGGGAAUACUGUGAGAGAUCAUUUGAUAAUCCUGAGUGGUUCUAUCGGCACGUGGAGGAUCACAGCUUCUGUUCGGAAUACAAGGCUGCUGGGAAGGAGAACCACGUGGUCCUCUGUGGCUGGAAAGACUGUGACUGCACCUUCAAAGGGCGCUGCAAGCUGCGGGAGCACCUGCGCAGCCACACGCAGGAGAAGGUGGUGGCCUGCCCUACCUGUGGUGGGAUGUUUGCCAACAACACCAAGUUCUUUGACCACAUCCGCCGUCAGACCGCGCUGGACCAGCAGAGGUUUCAGUGUUCUCACUGUUCCAAGAGGUUCGCUACAGAGAGGCUGCUUCGUGACCACAUGAGGAACCACGUGAACCAUUAUAAGUGCCCUCUGUGUGACAUGACCUGCCCACUGCCCUCCUCCCUGCGCAAUCACAUCCGUUUUCGGCACAGUGAAGAACGGCCAUUCAAAUGUGACUACUGUGACUACAGGUGCAAGAAUCUCAUUGACUUGAGGAAACAUCUGGAUACACACAGCAAAGAGCCUGCCUACCGCUGCGAGUUUGAGGCUUGCAGCUUCACUGCACGUUCCCUCUGCUCCAUCAAACUGCACUACCGGAAAGUCCACGAGGGUGACUCAGAGCCCCGCUAUAAGUGCCAUGUCUGUGACAAGAGCUUCACACGUGGAAACAACCUUACUGUCCACCUCAGGAAGAAGCACCAGUUCAAAUGGCCUUCGGGGCAUCCUCGCUUCAGGUACAAGGAACAUGAGGAUGGCUACAUGAGGCUGCAGCUGGUGCGCUAUGAGAGCGUGGAGCUGACGGAGCAGCUAUUGAAGGAUGGAGAGAAACAGGAGGAGGCUCUGGAUGGCUCCACUGACGGUGUGGUGCUGUCUGAAGGUGAGGGCAACCUGCAGGGCAUCAUUCUGGAGGCUCCAACAGAGGUUCCCUCUGUGGAGAGCAACGUGUCCGAGCCACACGCGGCCCUGCUGCAUCCUGCAGCCAGCUCUGAGCAAGCACAGCCCAGUACCUUCCCAGGAGCAGUGCAGCCCUCAGAGCAGGAGCCCAGCACCCCGGCCAACCCCAUCAUCCGUGUGGUGAACCGGACCAACGAGCACGGGGAGAGUGAGACUGUGUAUUACAUCAUGGCCAGCACGCUGUCAGAGGAGCGGGCAGCAGCAGCCAGCGGGCUGGCUAUGGAGCUGGAGGAGAAUGUCAUGGACCGUCUGCAGAAGACAGCUGAAGAGCUGGGUAUCCAUAUUGUGUGAGUGCGAAGCUGGAGUGACCCUUGGAUCCUCACGAAGCUGCGUGUGGAAGUGAUGUGCCCUGAUGGAGGCAGGAAGGCAACCUGGUUGACUUUUCCCCUCUCUUCCUCGAGCAGUUUGGCAAAAGCUGCUGGAAUUCCAGGAGACCUGGAUACCUACUGGUCCGGCACUGCACCCAUCUGCAUGGGGGGGCUGCAAGGGGAAGCAUAAGGAGCUGAAGAGGAGCCAGUGUGGGAACGGCAGCUGCUGCUGGCUGGGCUACAAAUCCUUCUGCCGAGGUACGGCCACUCAGGGGCUCUGGGAGUGCAUGGAGCAGGUUUGGUUCCCAUUCCCAUCCACGCGUGUCCCACCGAGCCGCCUGCCCACGGGAACCUCCCCAUCCCCAGUGAACUGCGGGAGGCCCGAGGCGGACUUCAACUCAGUGGUGCAUGGCAAUGACUGGUGGGUGGGCUCUGUGGUGCGCUACAGCUGCCGGCCCGGCUUCAUGCUGCUGGGGGACCCGGCCAGCGCCUGCCAGUCUGACGGCCGCUGGACGCCCAAGCCCACCUGCCUCCGUGAGUACCGUGGGGUGGGAUGGCUGUUGCUGUCCCAGCAGCCCACCAUGGGGGAAAAAGGGGCUGGUGGAUACACCGGGGACGUGCUCCAGACCUGCUCCUGCAGGGAUCUGCCUGCGAGGCCGGAUCGAGAUCAGCGAGCGGGACAUCAGCGGGAGCUGCUCGUCAUCCUGCAGCACCCAGAACCACCUGGGAGCCUCCCUGCACCACGGCUGCAUCAAGAUCUCCUCCUGCAGCACCAAACGCUCGGGCUGGGUGCGCUGGUUCCUGCGCUGCGACGUCUGCGAGUGCGACUGCCACGUGCCCUGCGGGGAGACCCAGUAGCGGCGCCCACCUCCGAUUCUCCUGGCAGAGCUGAGCCUUCUCCACUUAGGUCUGCUGGCCACACAUUUCCGGUGCUGGGUUCUUCCUUUCCAUAAUUUCCAUCCAUCUUGAAGCUGUCAUCUGGGAGAAGAGUUUUGGGACUUGCUGCCUUUCUGCCUGGCCACAUCACAUGGCAUGCAGGGAAUGCUGUGGGCAGCAGGAGCAGGGCAGCUGCAUUGAGGACUUGGAGACCACCGCAUCUUCUGCUGGCUGCUCCCUGGAGAAGGCUCACAUCCUCUUCUAGCAGGCAGGCAGCACUUUGCCUGUCCUGCAGGCUGCCAUUUCCCUCUGCUAGUUAUUUCCUGCCCCUGUGUGCAGGCAGCAGGGCUGUCCUGCUGCUCCAUCUGUGCAGGCAGGGUGUGGGGGCUGCUAUGCAUGGUGCCUGCAGGCUGGGGCUGCUCCUUCCUGCAGUGUGUGAUUUGCUCUAACCCCCCCCCCCCCCAAUCCUCCCCACGGACAUCUCAGGGUAGCUGAUGCCUUGCAGCCAGAACAGGUAAGGACACAAGACCCCUCCUUGCUCCUGGGUUCCCUGGGAUCCCAGCCCUGAGCCCUUCAUUCUGUCCCAUGUGCCCUCGUGUCCCACUGUUGUGAUGGUCUCUGGGUGCCACCUGCUCCGCAGGUACACCCUGGAUCCCUCUGAAGCAGCAAUGGAAGAACCAAAAUUGUCAUUCCCUGGGGAGGAAGAGGGGCAGGAGCAUGUGUAAUGGGAUCAGCAGGGGAAACGGGCCCUGCAUCACCACCACUGUGGGUAAUUAAAAAAAUUGUUUACAGGCAAUGACACAGAUUUGCAGUUAUGCAUGGAGGUUCUGCUGCCUGCUCCAUCCCCACAGCCCCACACAGAGAGGGCAGCUGCUCUCUCAGCUCCAGCUGUGAGCGGCCUAGGUCAGGAGGCAGCAUGCUUGAAAUGGCUUUGGGAUGAGCCCAGCACCUCUCCUGCUCCGCAAGGAACUGACUGCAGGCCUCGGUGUGGGGCUGAAUCUGAUGUUGCACCCUCUGCCUGAAUCUCAUUCCUAAAGGGCUGGAUCCCUGCCCCCAGCUCUGUCCCAGCCCUGAUCCCGCUGUGAGAGAGGAAAGAUUUCCUUAGCUCACCAGAUGGGUAUUUUAAUUAAUACUGUUGUUAGUGUCACUCAUUUCCAUAUGGCUUUCAUGUUUAAGUGCUGUGGUGGGUGAGAGGUGUGAGCGAC